rnacentral:rRNA from 1 species
UACAGAGGGUGCAAGCGUUGUUCGGAAUUACUGGGCGUAAAGCGCGUGUAGGCUGCUGCGUAAGUCGGAUGUGAAAGCCCUUGGCUUAACCAAGGAAGUGCACCCGAUACUGCGUAGCUUGAGUGUCGGAGGGGAUGGCGGAAUUCCCGGUGUAGAGGUGAAAUUCGUAGAUAUCGGGAGGAACACCUGUGGCGAAGGCGGCCAUCUGGACGACAACUGACGCUGAGACGCGAAAGCGUGGGGAGCAAACAGG